CCUGUGCAGCCUUGUGAAGCUGCCCCUGGCCAAGCCUGUUGCCUGUGGGUACAACAAGGUUGCAGAAAGCAACUCAAAGAAUGAAAAGGCGUGGCUUCUGGAGGCUCAGGAGCUUCACGUGCGAUGUUCCUUGCACAGGCCCCUGCUUUCCACGGUGGUGAUGACCUCACUCAGUAGCCGUCACCUUUCUUGAGGCAGGUAGAGUAAACCCUGGCAGCCGGAUAUUGUCUGAAACAGGGGAAGCUCUGCCUGUCAGACACUGUCAGCUGUCACAAUA
ensembl:scaRNA